UACGUAGGUCCCGAGCGUUGUCCGGAUUUAUUGGGCGUAAAGCGAGCGCAGGUGGUUUAUUAAGUCUGGUGUAAAAGGCAGUGGCUCAACCAUUGUAUGCAUUGGAAAUUGGUAGACUUGAGUGCAGGAGAGGAGAGUGGAAUUCCAUGUGUAGCGGUGAAAUGCGUAGAUAUAUGGAGGAACACCGGUGGCGAAAGCGGCUCUCUGGCCUGUAACUGACACUGAGGCUCGAAAGUGUGGGGAGCAAACAGG
rnacentral:rRNA from 1 species